UUGGCAAAGCAAUUGAAAGAUUGUGACGCAAAGCCAAGGGUCUUCUCCGAAAGGAAUGACAGCCGGUUGC
rnacentral:ncRNA from 1 species